GAUGAACGCUGGCGGCGUGCCUAAUACAUGCAAGUCGAGCGAACGGACGAGAAGCUUGCUUCUCUGAUGUUAGCGGCGGACGGGUGAGUAACACGUGGAUAACCUACCUAUAAGACUGGGAUAACUUCGGGAAACCGUAGCUAAUACCGGAUAAUAUUUUGAACCGCAUGGUUCAAUAGUGAAAGACGGUCUUGCUGUCACUUAUAGAUGGAUCCGCGCUGCAUUAGCUAGUUGGUAAGGUAACGGCUUACCAAGGCAACGAUGCAUAGCCGACCUGAGAGGGUGAUCGGCCACACUGGAACUGAGACACGGUCCAGACUCCUACGGGAGGCAGCAGUAGGGAAUCUUCCGCAAUGGGCGAAAGCCUGACGGAGCAACGCCGCGUGAGUGAUGAAGGUCUUCGGAUCGUAAAACUCUGUUAUUAGGGAAGAACAAAUGUGUAAGUAACUAUGCACGUCUUGACGGUACCUAAUCAGAAAGCCACGGCUAACUACGUG
rnacentral:rRNA from 1 species